rnacentral:rRNA from 1 species
CCCUUAGAUGUUCUGGGCCGCACGCGCGCUACACUGGUACGUUCAACAAGUUUACAACCUUGAUCGAUAGGUCUGGGUAAUCUUUUUAAUGCGUACCGUGCUAGGGAUAGAUUAUUGCAAUUAUUAAUCUUGAACGAGGAAUUCCUAGUAAACGCAAGUCAUCAGCUUGCAUUGAUUACGUCCCUGCCCUUUGUACACACCGCCCGUCGCACCUACUGAUUGAAUGACUCGGUGAAAAAUUGGGACUGUGAGAACAAUCGAUUCAGUUCGAAUGUACUCGUGGAAACUUUUUUUAACCUCGCCAUUUAGAAGAAGGUGANGUCGUNACA